rnacentral:tRNA from 1 species
GGGCGCGUAGUUCAGUUCGGGAGAACGGCCGUGUUAUGGGCCCAAUAUUAUUGUGGUUGUGAGUUCGCGCGACAUGAUCACAAUCCCAUUGUUCAUCUGGUCCCGCACGGACAGCCCGAGGUUCGAAUCCUCGCGUGCCCA